rnacentral:rRNA from 1 species
GACGAACGCUGGCGGCGUGCUUAACACAUGCAAGUCGAACGGAAAGGCCCUGCUUUUGUGGGGUGCUCGAGUGGCGAACGGGUGAGUAACACGUGAGUAACCUGCCCUUGACUUUGGGAUAACUUCAGGAAACUGGGGCUAAUACCGGAUAGGAGCUCCUGCUGCAUGGUGGGGGUUGGAAAGUUUCGGCGGUUGGGGAUGGACUCGCGGCUUAUCAGCUUGUUGGUGGGGUAGUGGCUUACCAAGGCUUUGACGGGUAGCCGGCCUGAGAGGGUGACCGGCCACAUGGGACUGGGGUUCCGGCCCGGACUCUACCGGGGGCCAGCGGUGGGAAUUUUGGCCCAUGGGGCGGAGGCUUGUUGCGCCACCCCGGGGUGCGGAAGGACGCCUUUCGGGUUGUAACCCGUUUUCGCUUGUACCGAGGCGUGGGGACGGUAAUUGGGAAAGGAGGCACGGGUAACUUCGGG